ensembl:antisense 1700120E14Rik RIKEN cDNA 1700120E14 gene
AGGUUCCCAGGAUAGCCCAAACAGUCUGGAUUCAUAAAAUGAAUCUCAGGUCAACUCAGCAGUCAACAGAUCUAUUAAAACAAGAGGAUCUCGACAUCUAACACGCAAAGACAGUGUGUGAACUAUGUCUAAGAGCUUCAUUGUGUGGGCCAAGGAAGACUUUAGCCCUCUCUUCUCUCCACCCCGGAAUCCCAGGACAGAGUCACUGGUAUCAGAGUGUCAAGUGGUAGUGUUUAUUGCCAAGCACGGUCAUGGGUGUUAAAGAAGGCAGAGCCACAGACAGCGCGUCUAUUCUCUCAUCCCUGCAGACCAAGGAAUCUGCAAACAGAACCAGGGCACAAGCUUCCUCAGUGCCGGGCUCUAACUUGGCCCACGGCUUCCUGAGGCAGAGGGCAUUUCUCCGCAGAGCAUGCUAACACUUCUUGAUACUGAUGUGGCCGGGAGAGAGCUGGAGACAAUACCACACCUGAGACUAUGCUGCGACUCCCUCUUUGGUUUGAGGCCAAUCAUUUACUAAGUGGCAACUAACUCUUAAAAGUAGGACACACAGGAAGCUGACAGUCCAAGCACCAUUGAGAGAUGAAUAAGCUCUGGAGACUAGAUCAUGGUCUGGUGGCUUUGGUUAACAAUACUGCAUUCCAAACACAGCUGGAAGGUCUGGUGUGAGGUUGUCCUGCCACGUUAAGCCAGACGCCAGACACCAGACAGGAAACACCAAAGGGACAGUGACAUGUGGUCCUAAAACCAACCUUAGCUGACCCCGUGGAGGUAUACACCUUAGGAGUAUGUACUCUUUCAGAGUAAG